GAAGCCACCCACGGCUGGCCAUGGGGAGAGGAGCCCCGUGAUGGCCAUGCAGAGGAGCAGCACGGAGCACAUGGAGAAGAGGGGCGAUCUGUUCCCGGUGCACAGACACAGCCAGAUUGAGUCCUCAUCCUUUAUUGUCAGACCCACGCGACCCCAAGGCCCUUCCAGUGUUUACAGGACAUUUCCCACUGAAGAGCUCUGAGGUUUGCGGAGACCCACGCUGCCCUUGCAGGGACGAGCAGAGAGACGCAGGGAACAGAGGCACAGGAGGACUGGGAUGCACGACCCAGGCAGAGCAGAGGUCAGGCCCAGGCCCCUCAGCAGACAGAGCCCUGGAUUCCAGUGGUCCUGGACAUGACCUGCGGUCUGUUUCCUCCGCUGACACAGGCCAUGAGGGCACUUGUGGACCACGCGUGCUGUUGGGCGCCCGCACGCGGCAGGUCUGAGCUGGGCAGUGACACGAGGGCCCGCACACGCUGCCUUUUGAACACUCAACACAAAAAACACAAGUAAAGUAGCUCAGUGAUGUUUAUAGUCAUUACAUGGUCGAAAGGAUAACAUUCGUGAUA